CAGAGCUCUGAGGCUGAGUGUCUGUCAAAUUCCAAUGGCGAUGACCCACGAGUGGAAACACAGUCAAAACUUCAUGCUCACCAUGAAUGUCAAGGAAGAAGAACUCUCUGACCCUGAGUAUGUUCCACAAGAAAAUGAAGAAGAAGAAGAAGAAGACUAUUUGAGUGUUUCCCACUUAUCUCUCCGCAGCCGCCGAAGAACCCAUCAUUCUUCCCCUUCGGUAAAGCAGAGGGAACCAUGGAAGACCAAGAAAAAUGUGCUCAACACUCGGAGAAGUCCUUUAAGUCCGACCCAUAUGACCAAGCGAAAAGUUCCUGGGGAUCCUUGGAAGCAUGGAGGCUGUAAACGAAAGAGAACCAUGUCUGAUAAUUUUAACGAACAUGAAAAGUCUUCUGCCAGCACCCAAGUUGAGGAGAUCCAGGAAAUUCUUGGAGCUGAAUACCCCAUCGUUGUUAAGUCUAUGAUACAUUCAAAUGUUUCCUCUUGGAAUUGUCUGACACUGCCAAAGCAAUUCUGCCAUUUGCAUUUACCAUUGUAUGAUACAACAUUAACCCUGGAAGUCGAAAGUGGGGAAAAAUAUAGAAUUAUUUUUCUUGCCGGAAAGAGGAUACUAAGUGCUGGAUGGAAAAAGUUUUGUACUGCACACAAGUUACGAGUUGGUGAUCUCUUAGUUUUACGUUUGGUCAGGCCUUUGAAGUUUAAGGUGUACAUAAUGGGAAGACAUAAUCUAGCUGAAGUAGAUGCAGCUUUUAGCCUCUUGAAAUUGAAUGCCUGCGCCAAACAUGAAGUGCUUGGUAUACUCUAGGAAAACCAUCCAAAGCCUCUUUCAAGUGAUGUUUGCCAAGGCAACAUUCGAAAGACAACUCUGAUGUUAGAUACUAAGCCUGAGCUUAUAGAUAAUCAAACUGAGGAAGACAAUGAGGAAUUUGGCUCCAAAUUUCCAGGAGGCAUUAGAUAUCCAGUACCAGCAGCUGAUUUCGAAGAUGUUAGAAGUAUUGAGAAUUUCACCAUUCUUGUGAAUGGUGUGACUAUAGAUUCUUGGCUUUCCAAACAGCUGAGGACUAACUAUUACGAUCUAUGCUGCUCACGAGGUUCAUUUCUGCAUGAUCAUCUCCUCAAAAGUAUUAACAGUAAGUUGGCUGCUGAAAUAAUAACUGAAACUACUAACAUUGCUAAUGCCAUUAGAGCUCGCAAGCUGUCCGCCUCUCAUGCUGAUUACGAAAUGUGGGAGAAGACUUUAAAUGCCUUUGAGCUGUUGGGUAUGGAUGUUGGAUUCUUACAUGCGCGACUGAAGCGGCUUCUGAGUGCUUCCUUCAGAUCAGAAGAGGCUGUGGAAUUAAAGAGGAUAGAAGAUAAAGUUGAGCAAAUUUGUGCAGGGGGGAGAUGAGAGCUCUUGACUCAAAGCUUUUGGAAUUGAAAGAGAUGAUGGUAAGUUUUGAUGCCAAGAUAGUGGCUUUAAAAGAAAUUUACGAAAGGCUUGAGUUUAUCUUCCAGGAAGAGGUUGAUGCUCCAUGGUGAGUAGAAGUAUACUUUAGCUACAACUGGCAUAUAGUUUUAGGACAUGACCUGCAGAAUCGAAAAAGAAAAUACACACACACACACACACACACAAGACCCAUAGGGUUUGGAA